UGACCUCGGAUCAGGUAGGAAUACCCGCUGAACUUAAGCAUAUCAAUAAGCGGAGGAAAAGAAACCAACAGGGAUUGCCUCAGUAACGGCGAGUGAAGCGGCAACAGCUCAAAUUUGAAAUCUGGCCGCAAGGUCCGAGUUGUAAUUUGUAGAGGAUGCUUUUGGCGAGGUGCCUUCCGAGUUCCCUGGAACGGGACGCCAUAGAGGGUGAGAGCCCCGUACGGUAGGACCACCAAGCCUCUGUAAAGCUCCUUCGACGAGUCGAGUAGUUUGGGAAUGCUGCUCUAAAUGGGAGGUGUACGUCUUCUAAAGC
rnacentral:rRNA from 1 species